UAUCAUGAAGACACAUUCUGGACUCGUC
rnacentral:piRNA from 1 species